rnacentral:rRNA from 1 species
CUAGCGACUUCAGAGUUUGAUCCUGGCUCAGAGCGAACGCUGGCGGCAGGCUUAACACAUGCAAGUCGAGCGCCGUAGCAAUACGGAGCGGCAGACGGGUGAGUAACACGUGGGAACGUGCCUUCUGGUUCGGAAUAACUCAGGGAAACUUGAGCUAAUACCGGAUAAGCCCUUCGGGGGAAAGAUUUAUCGCCGGAAGAUCGGCCCGCGUAAGAUUAGCUAGUUGGUGAGGUAAUGGCUCACCAAGGCUACGAUCUUUAGCUGGUCUGAGAGGAUGAUCAGCCACACUGGGACUGAGACACGGCCCAG